UUCAAAACUUGGCUAGUCAUAAAAGUAGCCUAGAAAUUGUUAUAAAAUGUGAUAUUAGUAGCAUUUGCAUACUGUAAAUUUAUAUUUGUACCCUAUGACUAAUGAUUGAAUACUGCUGUCUAAUUUGUGUGAUUUUGUCAUAAGAGUCGCAUAUCAAAUCAAUUGCAACCAAACAUUUGACUCAAGGUAGAGUGGCCAUCAAUUUAAACUUGAGAUAAAAUUUAAUAUACUUAUCGAAGAAACUUGAAGUACAGAGCAACUUGAAAAUGACUUUUCUCUGCUGUUUCCAGGUUUCUCUGCUGCAAAAUAUGGAUUACCUAGUCUGUGGAAAGAUUGCCAAAGUUGAGCUCAUGAGGGUAGAUGACAUCUCAAAAUCCGAAUCAAUAAUCUAUUCACAGAUCGAGAGAAAGAAGCAAGAAGAUGGAUUUGCAGAACUUCAAUUGACAACAGAUAACAUCAAACAGGAGCCAAUAACCUCAGAGGAAACCCCAACUACUACGCAGAUUGAAAUUGUGAAACAUGAGAGUCCAUUUGAACAAAUUGACAUUGAAAUGAAGAAUGAACCUUCUCAUAGCAGUACAGCUAUUCAUCAGAUCAAGAGAGAGAAGCAAGAAGAUGGAUUUGCAGAACUUCAAUUGACAACAAAUAACAUCAAACAGGAGCCAAUAACCUCAGAGGAAGCCCCAACUACUACUCAGAUUGAAAUUGUGAAACAUGAGAGUCCAUUUGAACAAAUUGACAUUGAAAUGAAGAAUGAACCUUCUCAUAGCAAUACAGCUAUUCAUCAGAUUGAAAUUGUGAAACAUGAGAGUCCAUUUGAACAAAUUGACAUUGAAAUGAAGAAUGAACAUUCUCAUAGCAAUACAGCUAUUCAUCAGAUCAAGAGAGAGAAGCAAGAAGAUGGAUUUGCAGAACAUCAAUUGACAACAAAUAACAUCAAACAGGAGCCAAUAACCUCAGAGGAAGCCCCAACUACUACUCAGAUUGAAAUUGUGAAACAUAAGAGUCCAUUUGAACAAAUUGACAUUGAAAUGAAGAAUGAACCUUCUCAUAGCAAUACAGCUAUUCAUCAGAUCAAGAGAGAGAAGCAAGAAGAUGGAUUUGCAGAACAUCAAUUGACAACAAAUAACAUCAAACAGGAGCCAAUAACCUCAGAGGAAACCCCAACUACUACUCAGAUCAAGAGAGAGAAGCAAGAAGAUGGAUUUGCAGAACUUCAAUUGACAACAAAUAACAUCAAACAGGAGCCAAUAACCUCAGAGGAAUCCCCAACUACUACUCAGAUUGAAAUUGUGAAACAUGAGAGUCCAUUUGAACAAAUUGACAUUGAAAUGAAGAAUGAACCUUCUCAUAGCAGUACAGCUAUUCAUCAGAUCAAGAGAGAGAAGCAAGAAGAUGGAUUCGCAGAACUUCAAUUGACAACAAAUAACAUCAAACAGGAGCCAAUAACCUCAGAGGAAUCCCCAACUACUACUCAGAUUGAAAUUGUGAAACAUGAGAGUCCAUUUGAACAAAUUGACAUUGAAAUGAAGAAUGAACCUUCUCAUAGCAAUACAGCUAUUCAUCAGAUCAAGAGAGAGAAGCAAGAAGAUGGAUUUGCAGAACUUCAAUUGACAACAAAUAACAUCAAACAGGAGCCAAUAACCUCAGAGGAAUCCCCAACUACUACUCAGAUUGAAAUUGUGAAACAUGAGAGUCCAUUUGAACAAAUUGACAUUGAAAUGAAGAAUGAACCUUCUCAUAGCAAUACAGCUAUUCAUCAGAUCAAGAGAGAGAAGCAAGAAGAUGGAUUUGCAGAACUUCAAUUGACAACAGAUAACAUCAAACAGGAGCCAAUAACCUCAGAGGAAGCCCCAACUACUACUCAGAUCGAGAGAAAGAAGCAAGAAGAUGGAUUUGCAGAACUUCAAUUGACAACAAAUAACAUCAAACAGGAGCCAAUAACCUCAGAGGAAUCCCCAACUACUACUCAGAUGGCGACAGUUGCAGUAGAUAGCAGCCAAGAACCAGCGCCAGAGUGCAGCAUUGCAUUCACUCCAACCAAUAAUGAUUUCAGCCAACAACAUUAUUUAAUCCCUGGCUACAAUCUAAUAUUCAUCAAAGAAGAAGAUUCCCGAGAUGGAGAAGACAUUUCAGAAGAAGUUGACUUUGGCGCAGUGAAGAGUGAAGCAGAGAUGUGGCCUUCUACCAGCGGCACUGCCAAUGCAGCAGAAGUGGGUGGACUGGAUGAAUAUUCAAUCUCUCCAGUGGAAAAGUGCACUGAGCCAACUGUGGCUGGCAAAGAGACCAAGCUCUACAGCUGUGCUGACUGCAGCUAUAAAAGUCCAUGGAUUUCUGAUUUGAAGACACACAUUAGAACACACACUGGGGAAAAACCAUUUAGUUGUGAUUUAUGUGAUUAUAAAUGUACCACUUCAGGCUACAUGAAAAUACAUAUCAGAUCACAUACAGGUGAAAGCCCAUUUAGUUGCGAAUUUUGUGACUACAAAUGUGCUCAUUCAUGUGAUUUGAUGAAACACAUCAGAACACAUACAGGUGUAAAACCAUUCAGUUGCGAAUAUUGUGACUAUAAAUGUGGUCAGAAAUCUAGUUUGAAGUUACAUCUCAGAACACAUACAGAUGAAAAACCAUUUAGUUGUACAUUUUGUGACUAUAAAUGUGCUACUUCAGGUAAUUUGAAGACGCACAUCAGAAUACACACUGGUGAGAAACCUUUUAGUUGCGAAUUUUGUGACUUUAAAUCUGCUACUUCAGGCCAUUUGAAGAGGCACAUCAGAACACACACUGGUGAAAAACCAUUUAGUUGCGAAUUUUGUGACUACAAAUGUGUAUCUUCAGGCCAUUUGAAAGAACAUAUCAGAUCACAUACAGAUGAAAAACCAUUCAGUUGCGAAUUUUGUGACUAUAAAUGUAGUCGGAAAUCUAGCUUGAAAUUACAUCUCAGAUCUCAUACCAAUGAAAAACCAUUUAGUUGCGAAUUUUGUGACUACAAAUGUGCUCAAUCAUCUAAUUUGAAGAAACACAUCAGAACACAUGCUGGUGAAAAAGAAGAACCAUUCAGUUGUAAAUAGUGUGACUAUAAAUGUGUCAGAAAUCUAGGUUGAAAUUACAUCUCAGAUCACAUACCAAUGAAAAACCAUUUAGUUGUAACUUUUGUGACUACAAAUGUGCUUCUUCAUCCAAUUUGAAAGUUCAUAUCAGAAUACAUACAGGUGAAAAACCAUUCAGUUGCUAAUUCUGUGACUUUAAAUUUGCUAUUGCCGGUAAUUUAAAAGUACAUAUUCAAACACAUACAGGUAAAAAACUUUUUAGUUGCAAAUUUUGUGACUAUAAAUGUUCUCGUUUAAAUGAUUUGAAGAAACACAUCUGAAAAAAUUGUGAAAUUUUUAAUUAUACAAUUAUUAUAAUUUCUACUGAGUAUAACAACACGUGACACUUAGUGGUACAAAACAAAAUAGCACUGUACAUGAAUAAACUUAAAUUAAUGUAAAACUAGAAUUAUGACUUUGGUUUGAUAAACUAUAGAAUUGUGAAUUAUUCGACUUUUUAUGAGCUGCUUUAUUUAGGCUACUUUGAAAUCACUAGAGCCCAUACACU
rnacentral:misc_RNA from 1 species